CCACUUCGUCCAUGACAUUAUCGCAGAGACAUGGUCCAUGAUUGGAGAGACAUUGUCGAGGAUGAGGGAGACAUUAUGCACGAUCAGGAACAUUGUCCAUGACUUGCAGAGACGUGCAAAAGUUGCAGUGACGGAGUUCCCCAAUUUGAAUGCAUCGUCCUUGACCAGAGAGACUUUGUCGAUUAUUACAGAGACGUAUUCCAUGAUCACAGAGAGGCUGUGUACAAAGAAGAAGUUCUUUGAGACCAGGACACAGGCCUCCAGGUGUCACCACUUCAUCCACGACAUCGUCCAAGAUCGCAGAGACAUGGUCCAUGAUCGGAGAGACAUUGUUGAGGAUGAGGGAGACAUCGUCCUCGAUCAGAGACAUUGUCCACGAUCGCAGAGACCUUGUCAAAGAUGAGAGAGAUGUUGUCUAUGAUCAGAGACAUUGUCCCAUGCUUCGUAGAGACCUUGCGAUAGAAUCGGCGGAGACGGGGGUCACCGAUUUGACGGCACUGCCCGCGAUCAUGGAGACAUUGUCGAUGAUCACAGAGACGCCGUCUAUGAUCUCAGAGACAUCGUCCACGAUCGCAAAAACAUUGGCCAUGAUCUCAGAGACUUUGUCCAUAAUCUCAGAGACAUUGUCCACGAUCACAGAGACGUAGUCCACAAUCACAGAGAGUCUUUGUAAAACGAAGAAGUUCUUUGAGACCAGGACAGAGGCCUCCAGGAGGUGAUGACAGAGACGUAGUCCAUGAUCAUAGAACGUCUCCGUACAAUGAAGAAGUUCUUGGAGACCAGGACAGAGGCCCCAAGGAGGAGAAGACGACAGCCACUGAACACCUGCAGUGGAUGAAAGAAAACAAGUGUUACAAAGCUGUUAACUAGAUAAAAGACUCCCACCAUCUAACUGCUGUAAAUCUGUGUUGGUUUUCUGUUGUCUGAGUGAAAACACUUUGUUUUUCUCUUUCUUUGUAAUGUAGUCAUGGGCACAUUUUCCAAAGAGUAAUGUUUCUUUAUUAAACACCUGUGAGAACAUUCAACUGCUUAUGAUACAACUAUUAAUGAAUAAUUGCAUCACAAGCAGUUAAAUGAUCAUAAAGAUGCUUUGUAGACAUGUUUAUCUUGAGUUAAUGUUGUUAUAAGCACAUUUAUCUAGAAUGUGCUUAUAACAACAUUAACUCUA